UCUGUCUAUUCGGUUUCUAAUCCAAUGCCC
rnacentral:piRNA from 1 species